rnacentral:tRNA from 1 species
UGCGGGAUCGUCUAGCGGUAGGACAUCUGACUCUGAAUUAGAGAACCCUGGUUCGAAUCCAGGUCCCGCAU